rnacentral:lncRNA from 10 species
UCACCCAGCUGUUAUGCCGCUUCUGCCUGCAAGAUGAGAAAGACACCUCCCCUUCCCAGGAGAGUCUCCGAGUCUGGGCCUUGCCACUCCUCACUCAGCAUCUGACCAUCCCCACCUCCUGGAUCUACAGGGUUCAUAGAGGAGGACCCAGAAGAGGGAAAGUCAGGCUGAGGAACUUGGCCUCCCUGCUGCAAGGGAAAUGACAUCGGUUACCAAGGAGGUGACCAGCUAUCCUUUUCCAAGACUGAAAAGCAGAAAUACGGCCCUGAGGCUAGAGGGUCUAAGAGAACAAUAGGAAGAAUUUCCUGACAAAGGACAAUGUUGCCUAAAGGACUCAGGAAGCUCUGUGAAAACAGGAGACUCCCGAGCAGAGCACCAGACCCUUCUCCACCAGGCAGUGUUUUUCCCAUAUGACAGGUGAGAAAACUGAGGCUGAGAGACAUGUAAUAACUUGCUGAAGCAGCAACCAGCACACCAUAUAGCUGAAAUCUGUAGAUCAGCAGUUAAAAGUGGUAGGGCAAGUCCUCUCUGACUUUCAGCGCUAAGAGCCUAGGAUUCUGUGUUUUUCUGCUUAAGCCUGGGAAUCAGAGUCCUACAAAAGCCGCGCCUAAUCCUGGGGGUGUGGGCUUUAAACCCAGAGAGAAAGCAUGUUAUUGGAAUACUCCUGCACUUUUCUCCCUUUGAAUCCCACC